GACAGAGGGUGCAAACGUUGUUCGGAAUUACUGGGCGUAAAGCGCGUGUAGGCGGCUUAUCAAGUCAGGCGUGAAAUUCCCGGGCUCAACCUGGGGGCUGCGCUUGAUACUGAUUGGCUUGAAUGCGGGAGAGGAUAGUGGAAUUCCCAGUGUAGAGGUGAAAUUCGUAGAUAUCGGGAAGAACACCGGUGGCGAAGGCGGCUAUCUGGCCCGUAAUUGACGCUGAGGCGCGAAAGCGUGGGGAGCAAACAGG
rnacentral:rRNA from 1 species